GACGAACGCUGGCGGCGUGCCUAAUACAUGCAAGUCGAACGCUUUUUCUUUCACCGGAGCUUGCUCCACCGAAAGAAAAAGAGUGGCGAACGGGUGAGUAACACGUGGGUAACCUGCCCAUCAGAAGGGGAUAACACUUGGAAACAGGUGCUAAUACCGUAUAACACUAUUUUCCGCAUGGAAGAAAGUUGAAAGGCGCUUUUGCGUCACUGAUGGAUGGACCCGCGGUGCAUUAGCUAGUUGGUGAGGUAACGGCGCACCAAGGCAACGAUGCAGAGCCGACCUGAGUGGGUGAUCGGCCACCCGUGGACUGAGACCCGGCCCAGACUCCUACGGGAGGUAGCAGUAGGGAAUCUUCGGCAAUGGACGAAAGUCUGACCGAGCAACGCCGCGUGAGUGAAGAAGGUUUUCGGAUCGUAAAACUCUGUUGUUAGAGAAGAACAAGGAUGAGAGUAAAACGUUCAUCCCUUGACGGUAUCUAACCAGAAAGCCACGGCUAACUACGUGCCAGCCGCCGCAGUAA
rnacentral:rRNA from 1 species